rnacentral:lncRNA from 1 species
UUUGGCUAAUGAUCGAGAAUAAAUGAUGAUAAUAUUUAGAUAUCUCUAAUUAAAAAUAAAUUGUUCAAAUAUAUUUUUUCAUCAAAAUCUUUAUUCCUAUCACUAAGUAAGGAUAUAAAGAGCCUCCUCAAGUUGCUGUAAGUCCAAAAAUUAUAGUGCGAUUUAAAGGUGAAAAUGCAUUAUGAAAAAUGAAAAUCCCAUGCAAAAAAAUCACAAGCUACGUUCAGUGUUAAGACAUAUUCACAAUCUGUACUCACAAUUGUCUAAAAAUACUAUGCUUACAAGUUCCUGAAGGUUUGAGGGAUUUUCUAGAGUUGUACUCCGUCUGUUCCACAAUUUAGGACGUUCUAGCAAAAGUAGCUGCUACUAAGGCCUUGAGCCUCCUCAAGUUGCUGUAAGUCCAAAAAUUAUAGUGCGAUUUAAAGGUGAAAAUGCAUUAUGAAAAAUGAAAAUCCCAUGCAAAAAAAUCACAAGCUACGUUCAGUG